UGUCGUGGUUAUAGCGAAGGAGUCACACCUGUUCCCAUUCCGAACACAGAAGUUAAGUCCUUUUGCGCUGAUGGUACUUGGAGGGCAGCCUCCUGGGAGAGUAGGUCAUUGCGGCAU
rnacentral:rRNA from 1 species